CAUCAACACAUGAUCAAGAUGUUUUCAGUUUUCUACCCUGAUGAGAGAUUUUGUAAUGGAUUUGAGGAGGUGCUUGCACGAUACAGAGAAAUUGUUCCCCAGCUUUCGGCUCGCAGGACCGACAUCUUUUGCACCCAUCAUUGAAAUGGCCAUGACUAUCGUCGAGCAAAGUGGUGGUCAAUACCCAUGUUUUGCUGAUAAUUGCCGAUGGGCAGGUAAUAUGUAAGGAGAACUUGGGUUAUUUGUUUCAACAUUCGGUAUAUACACACUCGGGCUAGGAGUAGACCGAAACUGAGACAUGCUAAGAAAACUUGACUGGCAUAACAAAAUAUUUUGUUACAAGGAUAAAUCAUCUACUAAUCAUUUGGUAUAGGGGGUCUCUAUCGCUCUAAAUCCGAUAGUUUACUGCUGAUAUCGAUAAGGUAACUCUGGAUAAUUUAGAGAAGAAAAACUGGAAGAAGCAUCCAUUUGGUAUAGGGUCACUAUCUCUCCGGAUCCAAAGGACAUCUGAUCAUUCUGAUGUUGAUUGG